GUCACAGAGAAUUCAACUUGGGGUCACGAGAGGUCAACUCCCCCCCACUAAUUAGGUGAAAGGUCACCAACUUAUUUUUUUGGGAAUCCAGGGGUCACAGAGAAUUCAACUUGGGGUCACGAGAGGUCAACUCCCCCCCACUAAUUAGGUGAAAGGUCACCAACUUAUUUUUUUGGGAAUCCAGGGGUCACAGAGAAUUCAACUUGGGGUCACGAGAGGUCAAAUCCCCCCACUAAUUAGGUGAAAGGUCACCAACUUAUUUUUUGGGAAGCCAGGGGUCACAGAGAGUUCAACUUGGGGUCACGAGAGGUCAACUCCCCCCACUAAUUAGGUGAAAGGUCACCAACUUAUUUUUUUGGGAAUCCAGGGGUCACAGAGAAUUCAACUUGGGGUCACGAGAGGUCAAAUCCCCCCACUAAUUAGGUGAAAGGUCACCAACUUAGUUUUU